rnacentral:rRNA from 1 species
AGCGAACGCUGGCGGCAGGCCUAACACAUGCAAGUCGAACGAAGUCUUCGGACUUAGUGGCGGACGGGUGAGUAACACGUGGGAACGUGCCUUUAGGUUCGGAAUAACUCAGGGAAACUUGUGCUAAUACCGAAUGUGCCCUUCGGGGGAAAGAUUUAUCGCCUUUAGAGCGGCCCGCGUCUGAUUAGCUAGUUGGUGAGGUAAUGGCUCACCAAGGCUACGAUCAGUAGCUGGUCUGAGAGGAUGACCAGCCACAUUGGGACUGAGACACGGCCCAAACUCCUACGGGAGGCAGCAGUGGGGAAUCUUGCGCAAUGGGCGAAAGCCUGACGCAGCCAUGCCGCGUGGAUGAUGAAGGUCUUAGGGUUGUAAAAUCCUUUCACCGGGGAAGAUAAUGACGGUACCCGGAGAAGAAGCCCCGGCUAACUUCGUGCCAGCAGCCGCCGUAAUAC